UUUUGUCCCUUCUUUCUCCCAACCCCAACUGAUCUCCAUAACAUACAAGCUCUGCCCACAGAUUGCAAAUUCCAUAAAUAACAUCAGGUAUGCAAGCAAGGAUUUUCUUUUCCCAUGUUUACUAAGUUAGCAGAGAUUGUAUUACUAAUUAUCUUUUCACCUUUUUUCCCAGUGUAAGAUCUUUGAAGCUGAGGAUGAAGCAUAGCAAGCAACGGUCAGAAAUCUGCACAAAAAUUUUCUGCAGUUAGAAAUUUGUUGCAUCUAAAGGUACUUAAAUUUACUGCUUUAAGCUGCCAAGUAGCUACUGCUGUGUGAUGUAGUUGGUGCCAUGAACCCUAGACAACAUGCCCUAUUUAGUUUGAUUUAACAAGACACAGUUUAGUUAUAUGGUUAGCGGAGGAUUGAUGUCUGAAAUUACUAUGGAGUUGUACUUUUCAUUUGUUGUCUGGGUGUGCUUGGAAGUGACUCCUCAACUUGACACUAAUUUGAACUGUCAACUGUGUUUGGAUAGAUAGACAGUACUGUACCUGAAGAUGGUGAUGGCAUCAAAACCCCACUUUGGAUUGCUUGAUUGUCGUAGGAAUAAUUUCCUGAAUCUAGUCGAAAAUAUCAAACUACAUAUAUCAAGUCCAUAACCAAUUGAAAUCUACAAGCUCACUGCACAUAUGGCCUGAAAUCAAGUCUCUCUCUCUCUCUCCACCUCUCUUAAAUUCAGAAUUUUUUAAAGAAAAAUAUGACCUUUUCAGACCAACCAAACAACAAGGUUUUCUUCAUGUCAGAGCAUUGUCUCAGGCUGAAAUGAACCGUGACAGGAAACAUGAGACUUAUAAUUGAUGUCCUAUAUUAAUUUCUACAUACAAUAAUACUACCAGUGCAAAACAUCAAAUUGCAUUCUAGCCAUCUGAUCAAUGCAAAACUAAGAGAAGGAAUUAAUUAUUUCUUUUAUUUCAGAGAAAAUUAGAAGAGCACAGUUCAUAUUACUACCACGAAGAUGUUCCUAGUCUAAAUUGCUCAAUUAAGCUGGCUAAGGUAAAUACGAUUAUUCAAGUGGUAAUUUUUUGUGUUUGCCUAAUCAAAACCCUUAGGCAUUCCUAAAACAUGGCUGCUAAGGAUAUGAUUUGUUAAACAUAAACAAGCAAUUUAUUGAAAUAUAUUAUUGUGAAUCUAAAAAUCUCAUUAAUGACCGCCGGACUUCCUCUAUCUAGGGCGAGGCCGGGUCCAAGAGAAGGAUGCUAGCCCAAAGCCCAUCAAGCUUUCCUUAAGCAGACCGACCCAGUAUCUCAAGCCCUGAUCCGAACAUGCGGGGCAGGCUAAGCUCAUCAUAAACCCGGGACCAACGAGAAGUAAUCUAGCCCAAUGAUGUGACGUGAAGGAGAAUAGUUGGCCCAGUCACUUCGCAGCCUGUCCGCAUGCGUGCUGGAAAAAUUAAAUGCGGAGAAAUUAAAUGGCCGCCUAACGUAGAGAGGGGUCUGACACACCCGUACGUACGGACCUGAGUGACAGAGACAAGUGGCACUGUAGCAGAUAAACGGUUAGACGUCACUAGCUGACAAAAGGAAAAGGGGAAAAACGUCUUCCUCUUCAUCUAAGCUUACACAACCGGAAAAGGAAUAGGAAGAACGUCUUCCUCUCCAUCUAAGCUUACACAACCACUGUAAAUUCUAUUUUCUGGAUCUUAGAACAUCACCAUCACCCCAUAGACAGACCACCCCCAUAGACAGACAUCCCCCUCUCAUUUCAACUUUGGAUCCUUAACUCAACAUUCCUCAAUUGAUUCUACAAGUACCAAAUUCUACUAAUGUUGUCAUUCUCCUCCAAUCCUUUUUAUUACUCCUCCUCACAACUUGUGGUGCAUUGGAGUUUUGGUGCUAUUGGCGUCAAAAUCUGUGGAGAUUGCCAUCCUCCAAGUAAAUUUACAUAUUGUCCCUCAACUUAAGGCAUCGUAGCAACAUGAUUUUUGAACUUCAAUUUGUAAGAUAAUUUCUUUUUACAUAGUAAAUUGCUUGCCUAUAAUGGUUGAUUUACAGGUUACAAGCUGACAUGGCUUGUCCUCUCUCUCUUCAUCUUCAUCUUCCUCAAUUUCAAUAUUGUUUUCCUCAUCUUCCUCACAAACAACAAAAUAGCAAGCUUGAUUUAUCAAAGUAUAUACCCUAUUCCACCAGCUUCAAAAACUUGUCAUUGUUUCCCGACUUCUUAGCAACUAAAAUCUCAUUGAGGAGAGAGAAGAAAAAAGAAAAGGGACGGCAAGCACAAGAUAUAGAAGUUGAUCAAUUGAUUCUUAUGUUUAUCAAUGAGCAUUGCCUUAGGUAACUUGACCAUUAACCUACCAAAAACCAAAACAAAUGGAAAAAAAUCCAUAAUUCUAUUGGAAAAUCCUCAAAAUAUCAUAAAUAGGAUUCUCAAUCAAAAAGUGAACCAACAAUGCAAAACCACCAUUUGAAGAUAAAAUCCUUGAGAGCAUCAAUUCUCCUACGCAAUAUAUCAUUCAAAUGGGAUAUAUUCGAGGAUCUUGCAUAUUAGAUGUUUAAACCAAAUGAAUGCAUCAAUUCAUUUUGAUCUUUCUAGUUCAAUUUGAUUCUCAAUUUCUCAUACAAGCACCAUAUAAGUGUUCCAAAUUGUUGUAAUAUCAUUUGAAAAAUCCAUUUUAGAGGAAAAAUGCAAAUGAAUUGUUGUAGAAAUUGUAUAUUAGGUCAAUAAAUAUGUGCAAACAUAGUUGAGGAACUCGAUGAAAUUAUAAGGGCAGUACCAUAAGUUCCUACCGGAAUAGCCUCCCCCCCUCCAUCGAUGCGAGUUAGUUUCACAAUAUACAUUCUCUCUAUUAAUUUUAGAUUGGACUUCUCUAUUACAAAUUGUUCACUUUAAUUAGACAUGUCUAUAAAUUAAUCAAAUAUUUUGAAAUUCAAAACAAAAUUAUAUUUGGCUUGUAG
rnacentral:lncRNA from 1 species